rnacentral:rRNA from 1 species
AAAAAAGGUAAGCUACUAAGAGCGAAUGGUGGAUGCCUUGACUGGUAAAGGCGAUGAAGGACGUACUAGACUGCGAUAAGCUACGGGGAGCUGUCAAGAAGCUUUGAUCCGUAGAUUUCCGAAUGGGGCAACCCAAUGUAUAGAGAUAUACAUUACCUAUAUAGGAGCGAACGAGGGGAAUUGAAACAUCUUAGUACCCUCAGGAAAAGAAAUCAAUAGAGAUUGCGUCAGUAGCGGCGAGCGAAAGCGCAAGAGGGCAAACCCAGUGCUUGCACUGGGGGUUGUAGGACUGCAAUGUGCAAGAGGUAAGUUUAGCAGAACAUUCUGGAAAGUAUAACCAUAGAGGGUGAUAGUCCCGUAUGCGAAAAACAAACCUUAGCUAGCAGUAUCCUGAGUAGGGCGGGACACGAGGAAUCUUGUCUGAAUCCGGGUCGACCACGAUCCAACCCUAAAUACUAAUACCAGAUCGAUAGUGCACAAGUACCGUGAGGGAAAGGUGAAAAGAACUGAGGUGAUCAGAGUGAAAUAGAACCUGAAACCAUUUGCUUACAAUCAUUCAGAGCCCUAUGUAGCAAUACAGGGUGAUGGACUGCCUUUUGCAUAAUGAGCCUGCGAGUUGUGGUGUCUGGCAAGGUUAAGCAAACGCGAAGCCGUAGCGAAAGCGAGUCUGAAUAGGGCGCUUAGUCAGAUGCUGCAGACCCGAAACGAAGUGAUCUAUCCAUGAGCAAGUUGAAGCUAGUGUAAGAACUAGUGGAGGACUGAACCCAUAGGCGUUGAAAAGCCCCGGGAUGACUUGUGGAUAGGGGUGAAAGGCCAAUCAAACUUCGUGAUAGCUGGUUCUCUCCGAAAUAUAUUUAGGUAUAGCGUUGUGUCGUAAUAUAAGGGGGUAGAGCACUGAAUGGGCUAGGGCAUACACCAAUGUACCAAACCCUAUCAAACUCCGAAUACCUUAUAUGUAAUCACAGCAGUCAGGCGGCGAGUGAUAAAAUCCGUCGUCAAGAGGGAAACAACCCAGACUACCAGCUAAGGUCCCUAAAUCUUACUUAAGUGGAAAACGAUGUGAAGUUACUUAAACAACCAGGAGGUUGGCUUAGAAGCAGCCAUCCUUUAAAGAAAGCGUAAUAGCUCACUGGUCUAGUGAUUUUGCGCGGAAAAUAUAACGGGGCUAAAGUAAGUACCGAAGCUGUAGACUUGCACACAACUUAGAUUAUUUAAGUUUAGAAUAUGAGAAACUAAGUUAUAUGUUUAGUUAUAUUUUUACUGAUUUUUAUAGAGUAAAGAUAGAAAUAAAACUUAGUAAAAUCAGUAAAAAUAUUCUUAGACUAAAGUUAAGUAGUUUAAGUUGUGUGCAAGUGGUAGGAGAGCGUUCUAUUUGCGUCGAAGGUAUACCGGUAAGGAGUGCUGGAGCGAAUAGAAGUGAGCAUGCAGGCAUGAGUAGCGAUAAUUAAUGUGAGAAUCAUUAACGCCGUAAACCCAAGGUUUCCUACGCGAUGCUCGUCAUCGUAGGGUUAGUCGGGUCCUAAGUCGAGUCCGAAAGGGGUAGACGAUGGCAAAUUGGUUAAUAUUCCAAUACCAACAUUAGUGUGCGAUGGAAGGACGCUUAGGGCUAAGGGGGCUAGCGGAUGGAAGUGCUAGUCUAAGGUCGUAGGAGGUUGUACAGGCAAAUCCGUAUAACAAUACUCCGAGAACUGAAAGGCUUUUUGAAGUCUUCGGAUGGAUAGAAGAACCCCUGAUGCCGUCGAGCCAAGAAAAGUUUCUAAGUUUAGCUAAUGUUGCCCGUACCGUAAACCGACACAGGUGGGUGGGAUGAGUAUUCUAAGGCGCGUGGAAGAACUCUCUUUAAGGAACUCUGCAAAAUAGCACCGUAUCUUCGGUAUAAGGUGUGGUUAGCUUUGUAUUAGGAUUUACUCCGAAAGCAAGGAAACUUACAACAAAGAGUCCCUCCCGACUGUUUACCAAAAACACAGCACUCUGCUAACUCGUAAGAGGAUGUAUAGGGUGUGACGCCUGCCCGGUGCUCGAAGGUUAAUUGAUGGGGUUAGCAUUAGCGAAGCUCUUGAUCGAAGCCCGAGUAAACGGCGGCCGUAACUAUAACGGUCCUAAGGUAGCGAAAUUCCUUGUCGGUUAAAUACCGACCUGCAUGAAUGGCGUAACGAGAUGGGAGCUGUCUCAAAGAGGGAUCCAGUGAAAUUGUAGUGGAGGUGAAAAUUCCUCCUACCCGCGGCAAGACGGAGAGACCCCGUGGACCUUUACUACAGCUUGACACUGCUAUUUGGAUAAGAAUGUGCAGGAUAGGUGGGAGGCUUUGAGUAUAUGACGCCAGUUGUAUAUGAGCCAUUGUUGAGAUACCACUCUUUCUUAUUUGGGUAGCUAACCAGCUUGAGUUAUCCUCAAGUGGGACAAUGUCUGGUGGGUAGUUUGACUGGGGCGGUCGCCUCCCAAAUAAUAACGGAGGCUUACAAAGGUUGGCUCAGAACGGUUGGAAAUCGUUCGUAGAGUAUAAAGGUAUAAGCCAGCUUAACUGCAAGACAUACAAGUCAAGCAGAGACGAAAGUCGGUCUUAGUGAUCCGGUGGUUCUGUGUGGAAGGGCCAUCGCUCAAAGGAUAAAAGGUACCCCGGGGAUAACAGGCUGAUCUCCCCCAAGAGCUCACAUCGACGGGGAGGUUUGGCACCUCGAUGUCGGCUCAUCGCAUCCUGGGGCUGGAGCAGGUCCCAAGGGUAUGGCUGUUCGCCAUUUAAAGCGGUACGCGAGCUGGGUUCAGAACGUCGUGAGACAGUUCGGUCCCUAUCUGCCGUGGGCGUAAGAAGAUUGAAGAGAUUUGACCCUAGUACGAGAGGACCGGGUUGAACAAACCACUGGUGUAGCUGUUGUUCUGCCAAGAGCAUCGCAGCGUAGCUAAGUUUGGAAAGGAUAAACGCUGAAAGCAUCUAAGCGUGAAGCCAACUCUAAGAUGAAUCUUCUCUAAGCUCUCUAGAAGACUACUAGUUUGAUAGGCUGGGUGUGUAAUGGAUGAAAGUCCUUUAGCUGACCAGUACUAAUAGAGCGUUUGGCUUAUCUUUAAUAAAGCAU